AGCUAUACAUUGCUGCAAAAAUGGCAGAGAAACAAGAGAAGAUAUCAGGGAACAAAAGUCAUGAUCUCAUGGAGCAAAAGACCUGGACUUUGCCCUUUGCUACAGUUAUGGAUUAUUUAGAUAGAGGUAUUUCAGGGAAAGAGGUCGCUUCUCUAACAAGCCCAAUUUAAUUCUCUAAGACAUUAUUUUUCUUUCUAGUAGUUUACAGUUAACUAAGAAAGAUAAGACAGAUAUCCAAAAAAGUAUUAGCAAAAUGCCAUUAGUGGUAUCAAUGUUUUACACAAAAUAAUGCUUAGUUAGAAUGAGAAUACCUAAGUUCUUUUCCAUGCCCGUUACCUUCCAUUGAUCAUGAUAUCUCUCAGAAUUCCAAUUUCCACCUCUGACAAAUGAAGAGAGUGAACUAGAUGAUCUCAAAAGUCUCUUCUAAUCUUACUUAUAGAAUUAAAAAGAGGAAUAUGAAAGGCCUUCAGCAGUGGUGGGAAAAUAGAGUAAAAAUCACUCAUUUAUAAAAUGCUUUCUGUUUGCAAAGUAUGUUAUAAAUAUUUUCUCAUAUGAUCUGGACAAUAAUCCUGUGAGGUAGGGAAGGAAGCAUUUCAGCUAGACCUUGAAGAUUUGGUUAGAUUUUGCAAGGGGACGACACAAAGAAGGAUAGUCUAGGCAGAAGGAAGAAUUUAUGCAAAAGCAUGCAGACAGGGAAGUACAUGGCAGGCUCAUGGUGUUUGGCUGGGGCAUAGGCUGGUGUAGAAAGGAAACAAGACUGACAGUUUGUGGGGGAAGGGCCCAACUGGGAGUGGCAGUUGGGUCUUGUGACUAACACUUCCUUCCUGCGGAGGUAGUCUUGCUUCUAGGUAUUGGAGGAAAGAGGAGCUUGUUCAGCCCAGUCUGGAGUGGCAUGCUCUUCUUGGUUCAGCUCAAAGACACAGGCUUCUAAAGGCAUUUACAAAGUACCCACCCUGUGCCAAGCUGUAUGAAUACAGAAACAAAAGCAAAAUAGUACUGAUCUCAGGACCUGACAGUAUCCUAAAGAAAAAUGAUUUGGACAUAACUUUGGGCAGGAGUCUACUACAAACUCAAAUGGAAAGCAAAAGGAAAAGUCAAAGUAACACUCAUGCUGUGGGUGGUAAGUUCAAAAUUCCUUCUUUUACAAGAGCCUGGUGUUCUUGAGACCUGGCCCAGUUAUUGUUCUUUUGUUUUCCAGAGGGAGACUGUUAUAUGCAAUAGUGAAUAGUCUGAUAUAUCAGAGUCAAAACUUGAAGUUCUCUAAAAUUGUGUGCUUUUCACAGUAUAUUCAUAUGCAUUAUUCUCUUUCAUUCUCCCAACAGCCUUUGGAGAAAGGAAAGGCAUGUAUUAUCAUUACCACUUGACAUAUGAAGAAACUGAGGCACAGAACCAUUAAAGAUACUUAUAGAAUAACCCAGAGGAAGUUAGUGGCAUAGCCCUUUUCUCCUUGAACAGCUUAUGGGUCAGUUCCUCCAUUAAAAUGUAUCAGAAUGACCUAAGAAGCAAAAG
rnacentral:lncRNA from 1 species